GACGAACGCUGGCGGCGUGCCUAAUACAUGCAAGUCGAACGCAGUGGGGACGGGUGAGUAACAGGUGGGUCACCUCCCAUCAGAGGGGAUAACACUUGGAAACAGGUGCUAAACCGAUACUGAUGGAUGGACCCGCGGUGAAUUGUCUAGUUGGUGUGGUAGCGGCUCACCAGGGCCACGAUGCAUAGCCGGCCUGAGAGGGUGAGCGGCCACACUGGUACGUAGCCACGGCCCAACCUCCGACGGGAGGCAGCAGUAGGGAAUCUUCGGCAAUGGACGAAAGUCUGACCGAGCAACGCCGCGUGAGUGAAGAGGGUUUUCGGAUCGUAAAACUCUGUUGUUAGAGAAGCGGUAUCUAACCAGAAAGCCACGGCUAACUACGUGCCAGCAGCCGCGGUAAUAC
rnacentral:rRNA from 1 species